rnacentral:tRNA from 1 species
GGUUCUAUGAUGUAGUGGUUAGCACUAUGGACUUUGAAUCCACAACCUGGGUUUGAAUCCCGGUAGGACCU